GCCGGCCGGGGGGGCGUGUGCCUGUAGUCCCAGCUCCGCUUGAGGCUGGAGGUUUGCUUCAGCCCAGGAGCUCUGGGCUGCCGUGCGAUGCCGAUCGGGUGUCCACACUGAGUUUGGCAUCAAUGUGGUGACCUCCCGGGAGCCGGGGACCACCAGGUUGCCUAAGGAGGGGUGACCCGACCCAAUCCAGGUUGGAAAUGGAGCAGGUCAAAACUCCUGAGCCAAUCAGUAGUGCGAUCGAACCUGUGAACGGCCACUGGAACAGAGCAAUACCCCGU
rfam:Callithrix jacchus chromosome 22, whole genome shotgun sequence